rnacentral:lncRNA from 1 species
CACAGGAUAGAUAGAUACCCAGUGAUUCCCAUUCCAAAGGCUGUGCACGUCUUCGUCUUCCUUCACCGUAGGGGUGAUGCUUGGAAGUAGCAGAUACGACUGAAAGUAAAAACUUCCACAAAAUGCACGAGAGAUCGGCAAAGAAUUCCAGAACACAUCCAACGUAGAAGACUCUGUCUUGAAUCUGGUUGGAAGCCACGCCAUGCAUUCUGGGAGCAAAGGGUUUGAUACAACACUAGAAUCUUGAACAGCUGUGGGAACGAGGGUGUCAGGGCAAUGCACAGAAACCAGAUGU